rnacentral:rRNA from 1 species
GAUGAACGCUGGCGGCGUGCUUAACACAUGCAAGUCGAACGGAAAGGCUCCUGCUUGCAGGGGUACUCGAGUGGCGAACGGGUGAGUAACACGUGGGUGAUCUGCCCUGCACUUCGGGAUAAGCCUGGGAAACUGGGUCUAAUACCGGAUAGGACGAUGGUUUGGAUGCCAUUGUGGAAAGUUUUUCGGUGUGGGAUGAGCUCGCGGCCUAUCAGCUUGUUGGUGGGGUAAUGGCCUACCAAGGCGUCGACGGGUAGCCGGCCUGAGAGGGUGUACGGCCACAUUGGGACUGAGAUACGGCCCAGACUCCUACGGGAGGCAGCAGUGGGGAAUAUUGCACAAUGGGCGCAAGCCUGAUGCAGCGACGCCGCGUGGGGGAUGACGGCCUUCGGGUUGUAAACUCCUUUCGCUAGGGACGAAGCGCAAGUGACGGUACCUGAGAAGAAGCACCGGCUAACUACGUG